CCCUUAGAUGUUCUGGGCCGCACGCGCGCUACACUGAUGAAUUCAACGAGCUCCUAACCUAGGCCGAAGGGUCCGGGUAAUCUUUGAAAUUUCAUCGUGAUGGGGAUAGAUUAUUGCAAUUAUUAAUCUUCAACGAGGAAUUCCUAGUAAGCGCGAGUCAUCAGCUCGCGUUGAUUACGUCCCUGCCCUUUGUACACACCGCCCGUCGCUCCUACCGAUUGAAUGGUCCGGUGAAAUGUUCGGACCGCGACAAGGCGGACGGUUCGCUGUCAGCUUUGUUGCGGGAAGUUCAUUAAACCUUAUCAUUUAGAGGAAGGAGAAGUCGUAACA
rnacentral:rRNA from 1 species